CACUCCCCAGCUCCUCCUCUCUGUUCUGCCUCCUGAGUGCCGGCCGGGGACUGGAUGUGCGCUGAGGGGUAGACACGAGCAUGGCUAGGCUGAAGUGAGGAACAGCCCUGCCUGCCUGCACAGUGCACAAAUUAAUCCAGCACACAGACACUCAGUCGCCGUUUUACAAAUAUCGUUGCUCACCAGCACUGUGACAGCAUAGCCACACAGACGUGAAGAGGACCCGGCCGCAGAAGCCACUAAGAUUUAGUGAACAGUCCCGAUAUGCUGUUUGGAGGACUCUAGGGACCAAAAAGAUGUGAGAAACAGGCAGUAGCACAAAGGGGAGGCAAAUGUGCUCCACUGGAGCCUUACCAGAUCAGCACAUACAUGGCGGGAACGGGAGGGGACAACCAGGGCCGGCCCCGUCUGCAUGUCCCCAUUGCUGGGUCUUGUCAGCUUGCCUCUUGCAGUUCUCUUGCCUCUACACCACACUUUGCCUGGACAUCAAGGGGAACGGUAUAAGCUGUUUCACAAAAAAUAGCUGCCUCACCGUCUGGACUUUGGCAUCUCGCUUCUUCUCCACGAGGAAACUCCUGCCUCUUUUCCAGCGAUGCCUUCUGCCCCGCAGCACCUUUUUUCCGCCGUGAUGCUCAUCCUUGGGAGGUCGCCUCGAUCUCCUGUCCAUCAGCCGACGACGCAUGCAACGCUUUCGACGCCAUUCCAAACAGGCUGCUAAGAUUUGGUGAACGGUCCCGAUACGCUGUUUGGAUGACUCUAGGGAACAGAAAGAUGUGAGAAACAGGCAGGCGCACAAAAGGCUGCUAACAUUUGGUGAACGGUCCCGAUACGCUGUUUGGAGGACUCUAGGGAACAGAAAGAUGUGAGAAACAGGCAGUCGCACAAAAGCAUCGCCUCUUGUCCAUCAGCCGACGACGCAUGCAACGCUUUUCACGCCGUUCCAAUCAGCUGCUAAGAUUUGGUGAACAGUCCCGAUACGCUGUUUGGAGGACUCUAGGGAACAGAAAGAUGUGAGAAACAGGCAGUCGCACAAAAGCAUCGCCUCCUGUCCAUCAGCCGACGACGCAUGCAACGCUUUCGACGCUGUUCCAAACAGGCUGCUAAGAUUUGGUGAACGGUCCCAAUACGCUGUUUGGAUGACUCUAGGGAACAGAAAGAUGUGAGAAACAGGCAGUCGCACAAAAGCUGCUAAGAUUUGGUGAACAGUCCCGAUACGCUGUUUGGAGGACUCUAGGGAACAGAAAGAUGUGAGAAACAGGCAGUCU